AUAUAUAUAUGUGUGUGUGUAGAAAUUAACUUUGGCUGCGUUUCCUGAAACCUUCUUAACGCUACGUCGUUCGUAAGUUAUACCUUAAGUUGUACCUUUA